rnacentral:lncRNA from 1 species
AUGAGAGACGACGCCGCGUUCCGAGCAGGAAGCCGCGCUCCGCUCUUCCACACCGCGAGCAGCGGGGCCGGCCCGAGCCGAGCGGGACUCGGUUUCCCCGCAGGUUCCGAACCACCACCGGCAGCGCGGUGCUCCGCGGCGCUUCGGCUCACAGCAGCGCCGCUCCGAGCCGCAGCACGCGGGGCUCAGCACGCUUUCUCCGUCGCAGUGCGUGACGGAGCCGCUGCACCUCCGCGGCCGCUGCGACGACCUUUAACUCUUCAGCAGCGAUCUCCGGAUGCGCAACAGCUGAAUUCAACCCCGAUUUCAACGCUCCGUAAAGCGCCGCGCGUGCGGCUGCCGCCGGGUAAAAAAAUGCACCGGGGACAAACACAACUUGCGCAACAGCGACAGCUGCGCCAGCCCCGGAACGCCGCCACUUUCAGAGCCCCUUUCUCACGUGAAGCCUCCGCCAUCCACGGGGAAGAGGACGGGGGAAAACGAGCGCUGGCAGAGCCGCGUCUGAGCGCCCCGAAUACCCGCCAUCUCCUCCCGUCGGAGCGACGAAUCCGCCGCCGGGCAGCCCGGCUCCUUAGCGGCAGCAGCUCCUCCUCGACGCCCGCGUCCCGCCCGCCCCGCUCGGUGCCUCCCUCAGCCCGGAGCCGAACUCCCCGAGCUCCUCGCGGCCCCGCGGCUCAGCGCCACGCGCAGGGCCGAGCGGAUCGCAGCGCCGCCCGCCCGGAGCUGCCGGGGUUUCGUCCUCCCGCCAGAAGCGCCGCCGCUCCCCCCGCCCCCCCCCUUCACAACGGCCGCGCUGCCCCGCGCCGCAACAAAGGGAAAGUUGGGGCCGCUCGCGGCUCCCGCCCGCACACAAAGGCGGCGGCGCGGCGCCCCCCGGCCCGGAGCCUCCGCUCAGCCCCCGGACCCCCCCGCGCGCCCUGCCCGCCCUCGCAGGUACCCCGCCUCCCCCCCGAGAUGCGCCCCCCACCGUGGGAGCGCUCGGCCGCGACCCCCCACCCCCAGGUGGCUGCAGGACGAGGACCCCUCCCACCCGCCCCGCAGGGGGUCANNNNNNNNNNNNNCCCCCCCCCGCUCCCUUUAUUUACCGCCAUCAUCGCACGCGCGAGCUGUCACCAGCGUGAGACACCCCAACGCCGCCGGCCACGCCCUCUCCCCGCCCAUUGGCCGCCCGCCGCGCCCCGCCCCGCCCCGCUAUUGGCCGGAGAGCGCGCCACACAGCGCGCUCGCUCCGCCCCUCGCUUCGCUCCCCAUUCACCGCCGCCGCCUACGCCAAUUCCGUCCGGCGCGGACGUAGCAGAGCGCGGCGCCGUCCCGGGCGCAGACGGCGCGGCCGGCGUUCAAGCGGACGCUGUUUGCAUCCUCCUUACUCCAGUAAAUCUGCUGAUGUCACCAGGAUUUCUCCAGAGAGGAAUAGUGUGCAGGAAUGGGACAUUUAUUGCAGACCUUUCAAACAGUGAGACAAAGCAGUUGGUAUUCUCUUCCAGUGCAUGA